ACAUCUUUAUGUGUCGACACGUUCUGGUCUAAAGAUAAAUGUACGGCUACCUCAAAUACAGUUUGUGAACCACUGGAGGGAUCCUACUGUAUGGACUAUUCACAAAACAGCUGUGUGAAAGCACAGAAACACUGCAGCUGUCAACCCGGACAAUAUAUUAGCCAAAAAGGAACAGCAUUAAGGGCCACUGAGUGCUCUGACUGCAGCGAUGGAACAUUUUCCAAUGGGACAUUAAUGUCAAUCCUUGAAUCUUCAGCAGAUAAAAUGCUUCAACCGACGCUGAAUGUGGAGAACAAAGAUCAGGAGCUGAGAUCG